CUUGUGCCUCCUUUGGCUUGGGCUUAAGUCACUGGCAGGGAAAAUAAAAAGGAGGCAGGCAGGCGGGCAGACAAACAGGAGGACAGAAAGGGAAGGGAGCUGUAGGUCCCGCAGACGGGACCCGGAGGGAGGCAGGGGCAGGCGGCCGGGGGUGCGGGACCCCCCUCUGCUCUGGGUGGACGAGAGAGAGCGUGGAUGGUGAAAGUCUCUAACCAAGUAUCUCAGUAACGUGGAUGGGGUAAUUGUCGUGUUGUUAAGCUCUUCCUUAUUGACGCGCACCACAUUUAGCCCCUGGUCUCCGAAAUGGAUGUCAAAGCAGGUUGUGACAUCUUUAGAGAGCCUGUCCUGCAGGGUUUUCUGUUACCGCCAAGAGUAUCCUCAUGUACGGUGCCCUCCGUGGCCAGGGGCCAGCGACGGAACGGAGUCAAAUGAAUAAAAUAAGUGCAAACUAGUCUUCUUUGCACAGAGACGUCAAGAUGCGUGUAAAAGGGGAGCAUCUAGAAAAGAUGAAAAUCCGAGUUUUCCAGCUCCAAAUUAUUACAUUCUCAGCAACCGAACACGAUCAUUACGCACGAGAGACGGGCAAAAUCCUACUCGUAUACUGAUUAUUGUUAUGACAAGGAGCAGUAACGGCUUUUGUUAUAAAAAUACUGUUUGUUAUGAAGAAACUGAGUGAGCAGCCACCCAGAUAAACACUCCCUGCGUCUAACAAGCCUACUGUCUUCGUGAUGUUUUGUGUGCUGCUAACCCCCCAUCUUUUUCAACCGUUGUCUUUUUCUUCUUUUUUUUUU
rnacentral:lncRNA from 1 species